GCACUCCAUCCUAGGAGACAGAGUGAGACCCUGUCUCAAAAACAAGAAAGGUAAAUUUGUGAACAGUUAAGAUACUUGUGGAUGGUCACACAGCUAGAAGAUAACAGAGCUAGGAUUCAAACACAGCUCCAAAGCCCGUGAAGUCCUAAUUCUACACAAUAUAAGUGAGAAGUCAGGCUUUAAGCCAGGGAGAGACCUGCCCAAGGCCAACCGGUGACUCACGGGCAGGGUCAGGCUAAGAACCCUGGUGUUCUGAUUUCCUCUCUCCCUUGAGAUCCAUGGGCGCUACCACACACACAAACAUUCUCUCACCCCACCUUCCUCUAGCAUGCACCUGGCUGCCUUGGCUUCCCUUCCCAGAGGCUGCCCCUUCUUUUUCUAGACCUGGACCCUGCAUAAGAUGCAGUAAACAUGGCUACAGUCGUGUUAAGGGCAGAGGCUCGCUGUGGUAAGUGGCAGGGCUGAAGCAGGUGGAGAGGGAGCAACCUCACAUCCCGCCUGCAGUCUGGAUUCUGUCCCAGUCACACACUAAAGAAGAGCCCUUGUCAAGGUUACCAGCAGCCUCCACGUUGCCAAACCCUAAGGCCUCUUGCCAGUGCUCACCUUGCGUGGCCCAUCUGCUGACAGCUUCUUCCUGGUGGAACCACUGCCCCCCUCUGUCAUGCAGUCUGCUCUGGGUCUCCUCCCACCUCUCUGACCAUUCCUUCUCAGGCUCCUUUGCGUGCACCUCUUCAUUCCUCAGGGCUCUGUCCUCAAACCAUCCUUUUCUUUUUCUGUACACUCUCUCUGGACAAUGUCGACAAUCACCACCUGUGUUAUGAUGAACUUCAACUUUUUCCUUCCAGACCAAGCCUCUCCUGAGCUCCAGCCCCUUGCCUGUGUUUAACUAUCUCCUGGAUUUCCCCAUGGGCAUCUCGCCUCUCACCCUGUGCUGGGCCCCGUGCUCCAGAACAGCUCAUCAGCGCUUUGCCCACAUCUUCUGCUGGCAGAGUCUCCCCAGUUCCAUCUUCCACAGCCCUCUCAAACACGUGCUUUCUUCUCCAACCCCAAACCAGUCAUCACCCUCUCUCUGUCCCAGAUCAGAAACAGCCUCUUAAGUGGUUCCCUCUUGCCAGCCGUGCCUGUCCUGCUUUUGCUCCACACUGCACCCGAAAUUACCUUUAAAAUCCAAAUCUGAUCAUGUCACUCCCCUGCUUGCCAGCCUUCAACAUCGCCCAGUGCCCUCUGGAUUCAUUCUCAGAGCCUGAUCAUCAAGUUUCUCUUCAAUAUCUCUCUUUCUUUUUUUUCUUUUUUUUGAGACAGAGUCUCACUCUGUCGCCCAGGCUGGAGUGCAGUGGCUGGAUCUCAGCUCACUGCAAGCUCCGCCUCCCGGGUUUACGCCAUUCUCCUGCCUCAGCCUCCCAAGUAGCUGGGACUACAGGCGUCCGCCACCUCACCCAGCUAGUUUUUUGUAUUUUUUAGUAGAGACGGGGUUUCACCAUGUUGGCCAGGCAGGUUUCAAACUCCUGACCUCAGGUGAUCCACCUGCCUCAGCCUCCCAAAGUGCUGGGAUUACAGGCAUGAGCCACUGCACCUGGGCCUCUUCAAUCUCUUCACCCUGGGUUUCCCUUCUCCCCAUUUCCAGCCAUGCCCCUGAUACCCCAGUGCAUGGUUUCAUUCGACCCCCACAUAUUAUGAGCCUUUCUGUCCAAAUAGACUUGAUGAGAAAGGCCCCCCACCUCUUUACUUUCCUCUGCUGCUUCCCCUGGCUACCAGCUCAGAGGCAAGGAAUGGACAAUGUGACUUACAGGGUCAGCAUGGGGAGGGGGUCAUGGAUGGCCCUGGUGGAGCCCCACCCACUUCGUGCUGCCCACCCACUCACCAUCAUGACAUACGUGCUCAUGAACUCGGCCAGGAACUCUCGCACCAUCUUCUUCUGCAGUAUUUCCUGGAUCUUUGCCAUCACGGACCAGGAGACCAUUUUGGAGCCACGGGUGGACCUGAGACAGUGACCCGAGCCCAUGGACAGAAAGGAGACUCAAGUCUGCCUGCUGCCCAUCGGCUCUUCAACUCACAACUGAGUUAAUGGGUAACCCAGCAGCCUCACCACACACACCUCCUCUUGCCCAGGGCAGCUGGGACAGCUGGAAUUGGAGACACUUGAGAGCCAUGGGGACAUGGAGAGGAACGGGGUAGACAGCCGGGCCAUGCUCCUUCUAGUUGGGACUGGACCAGUAAAAAUGACACACUAAUGAAACCACUUUGCAGAGGGGCAGGUGGGGAGCUGAAAGUGCAAUCCAUGAUGCCAACAAGUCUCUGGGAAAAAAGCAGGGUAGGAGAGAGCAGACUGGAAAGUGGAGCUCAGUUGUCUAUGUCUAUCCAUCUGUCUGUCUGCCUAUCUGCUAGAGCCAGAACUUUGGGGUCACAGGCCAGGACCUGUUAACAGUGAGGCACUCUACAAACAGCAUGAGGUGUGACAAAGUCUGCUGCCGAGCUCUAUAAACAGCACUGAGCACUGAAACAUGUACCAGGUUCUGUCAAAGAUGAAGGGGUCAGCAAAAUGCACCAGGCUCUGCAACCAGAUUUGUAGAUGCUGAGGAGCCAAAGAGAGGUCACCAUGGCUGGAGCACACAGAACUUGGCCCCACACUUCUAUCAGACCUUGGCCCCCAGGGGAGAAGCCCUGGGGCAGCUCCUACUAGUGCCACUCCCUUAACCCAGCCAAGCAACAGGGAGGGAGGAGCAGUGCUCAGCCAAUGAGGCGACGCCCUGGAGCCCCACCCACCCAUGCUGGCCCCAGGACCCCAACCCCAGGCCAGACCCUCCAGCGCUCCUCCAGACCUUCCCUAUCUGCAGCCCAGCUUUGGACUGUGGAGAUGCCCUCAGCCUCUGCUCAGUGGCUCCAGCCUCGUAUUUGCGUGCUAUACAUUUAACCUCAAGCCCAGUUGCUGCUAACUUAAACUGUGACUGUCCAGGACCUGCACACACACACACAUGCACACACACGCACACACACACACACACACACAGAAGGUGAACACACAGGAUGAGGCUCUGAAAACUCAUUUCACCCUGUACCUUGCCUAAAAAUUCCCCUUUGUACUCCUAUCUUUCUCUCUAAUUGACAGCAUGAAGGUAGCCCCAAGUCCCCUCACCCUGUCUGUCCUCCUCAUUCUCUAACUCAGUUCCCUCUAGCUGCAGCACAGACUCUUAUCCCCAGCCCUGACUGCAGAAACCCUCCAGCCCCAGCUCUAGCCCCGCAGGAGGGGACUCCGCGGGAGGAACAACUGCAGCAAGCCGGCAGCUGACCCAUCUCUGGCCUGCACUCCUCCCCCUGUGGUCCACGGCCCGUGGUCUUCAGCUCUCUCCUCGUCCCACUCCCAUGGUCUGCUGACAGCCCAGCCCAGCACAUCCCUGCCAUCUCUGCUCUACCUCUGGUCCUCCCAACAACCAAUAUACAGGUAAGGAAACUGAGGCUCAGAGAGAGCGUGUGUGUGUCUGUGUCACACAGCAACACAGGACUGCACCAGAGCCAGAAAGCCAGGCCUUCCACUCCCAGCCGGCACUCCUUCCCCAAACAAUCCCACAGUCACCUCCUCCCUGUGUGGUACCAAGGGAAUGGCCCUUCCGGAUCUGGGCACUGAGGAGGCCGCCCCAUCCACCCUGCCUGGAGCCCCACUCACUCUGCUGAAAUGCCUUCUGAUUCUCAGCCUCUGCCUUGGGGGCUUCUCAGUUAAAGUGCAUCUUGAUCUUGUUCCUCCGAGACAGUCCCUGGCUCAGCUUCCACUCCCAACUGGGGCUCGGCUAUCCCUGUGUCCCCAGUCCAGAGCCUGCCUCUCAGCCCUCCCAGGGCGGCCUCAAGCACUGCUCCUGCUCCUCUAGGGGAGAGGUCAUUAAGGCUGGGGUUUGGCUGGUGCCACUUGAGCCAAGUCCGGAUGCACUGCCCAAAAUAACAUCCCUCGUCUGGCCAGCGGUGCCAUGGAGACCGAGUUCUGAAGCAGCCCUUUGUGAGGUCAGAGGUGCAGAUCCGGGUGGGCACUCUGGGCCUCACAGUCCCAGAGGAAAGGCCUGUCCUCCAAGCCAAUGUGCAGCCUGACUCUGGGGCAGCGCCUGAGGAAGCCCUCCCCAAGCCCCCAGCCCUGGGGAAGGCUGCAGAGGCCUUUGAGCCCCCAGCGUUGGGGAGAGCUGUGCAGAAUAGGACUGGAAGUGGAAGUGUUGGAGAUCAACAGCCGGGUGGAGGGGACGCGGGGAGGCCGUGGAUCAGUCCUCAGGGAGCCCCAUUCUGAAGGGGGAAAGGGAGACUCAGGCCCAGUCCUCAGGGCCCCCAGUCUGAGAGGAAGGAGGACACACAAGCCAUAUUUGCAGAGAAACACGAGCCUGAGGGAGGAGGUAGAAGCCCAGGCCUGGCCCUCUGAGGGCCCCUAGUCCGAGGAGCAGGUGGAAACCUACACUCUGUCCUCAGGAAAACACCUCCCUUAGGAAAGGUCAGCAGGGCCCCUGUGAAGGAGCCAGAGCUGGAUCGGGGCAUGGGGUUCGGGGCUCAGCAGCAUGGGAGCUCCGGGACUGAGGUGCGGUCAGGAGAGACCCUGGGGACCAGCGGCAGUCCAAGAGGACUUUUGGAGCUAGGGCCUGACUAGGUCUCAAACAAUGGGGCAGGCAGUUCGGGGUUUCAGCAGGUGGCCCAGUGCUGAGACACGAGGGAGGUGUUUCUGGUCUGCAGACUCUGAGGACACUUGCUGUGUGGCAUGGUGGAUGGUGGGACUUGACCCUGGGGACUGAGAGGUGGAGAAGACACAGUCCCAUCUGUCUCAUGGCAGAGACAGGUAAGCAGCAGGUGACUUAGGACACACCAGAUAAGCUGGAAGGAAUACAGACAGGGCUAGCCCAAGCUCGAGGGGGACAAGGGUCUUCCAGAAGAGGUGACAUGGGAACUGAGUUUUCCAAAACGAGCAGGGGGAGGAAGGACACCGUGGCAUUUGAAGCUUGAUGGGACUGUGAGAAAACCUGGGAGCUGUGAGUGACUUGCAGAGGGCUGUGGAAAUGGGCAGGGAUAGACCAUGAAGGGCUUUGUCGGCCAGGCCCAGGAGUUCAGACUUUAACCCAAGGGCCUGAGGAGCCUUCAAAGGGUUCUUAAUAAAGAGAAGAGCAAUGGGGUCAACCUGAGGUCCCCGAGGUCCCAGGGCAUCCAGCAGGCAGAGGCACAGUUGGGCCUGCGCUCGGGAGAGGGGUCUAGCUGGAGAAAGAGAAGAGGAGAUCAGCCCCUGGGCUUCAGCACUAGAGUCGCUGGGGCUGCCCAAGAAGCACAGGGAGUGAGGCAGGGGCCAGGGUCAGGAUUCUGGGGAACAGGGAUGAUGAACGAGUGGGUGGGGAAGGAGCUGAAAACCCAGACACGGGGCUGCCCAGAGACUGACAGGAGCCAGUAGGCGGCUGUUGCCCCAGAGUUGGGUGCUGGGAGGGGCUGGCCAGGCAGGUGUUUGCAUACAGCUGCCUGGAUGAGCUGGUGGGGAUAGAGGGUGGCAACAGCGCUGAAGAAGGUGAGGCUGAGGAGGCAGAAAGUUCAACUGCAGAGAGAAGAGUGGCAGCUAAACGGGCCACCAAGGUGGGAGUUUGGGUCAGAGCUGUGAAGCAUGUUAGUCUGCACAGAGCUUGCGGGGGGUCUCUGAGCCAGUGAAGAUGGGGGUGGGGCAGAGAGGGAACACCUGGGGUCCUUUCUUCAUAGGAUGGGCUUCAGUAGAGUUAGCAGAUAAAAUAUAAGAUGCCCAGUUAAAUUUGAAUUUCAAAGAAACAAUAUUUGACACAACCUUAUACCCGGUAUACCUUUAGUCUAACCUCAGGCCCUCUUGAUGCUUAAACUGUGACUGUCCAGGACACACACACACAAACACACACACACACACACACAC